AUUCUUUUUCUAUUUUUUAUUUUUUAACUUUUAGAUAUAUUAAUUAACUUAAAUUAUUCAUUUUACGAUUUAUCACUUAUUUUUCAAAUAGAAGAUGAAGACUGGAAAGGGCGAGAAAAUUUAUCUAAGCUCAAAAUUUGCAGUAAGCAAAUAAACUUGAUCAAAUAUCAAUAAGAAAUAUCGAAAGCUUCUGGAUGUAAUUGCACGCUUCUCAAUUAUAUAUAUUCAUCAUAUGGGGAUUAUGCAUGAUUGCCUUGAACUUUGAGCACUGGAUGAUGACCAUAAAGAAAGCAAAUAGUUGAA
rnacentral:lncRNA from 1 species